GCCUCUGUGGACCGUGGAAGGUCAUCUCAACACAAUAGUGUGAGUAUCUAAUAGGUGAAUGAGAUUGUCGAUGGUUCGAUUCCAUCCGGAGGCA